rnacentral:rRNA from 1 species
UGGGGAAUAUUGCACAAUGGGGGAAACCCUGAUGCAGCGACGCCGCGUGAGGGAAGACGGUUUUCGGAUUGUAAACCUCUGUCUCUGGUGAAGAUAAUGACGGUAACCAGAGAAGAAGCCCCGGCUAACUUCGUGCCAGCAGCCGCGGUAAUACGAAGGGGGCAAGCGUUGUUCGGAAUUACUGGGCGUAAAGCGCACGCAGGCGGCGUGACGCGUCAGAAGUGAAAUCCCCGGGCUCAACCUGGGAACUGCUUUUGAAACGGUCAUGCUCGAAUCAUGGAGAGGGUAGCGGAAUUCCGAGUGUAGAGGUGAAAUUCGUAGAUAUUCGGAAGAACACCAGUGGCGAAGGCGGCUUACUGGACUGUAACUGACGUUGAGGCUCGAAAGCAUGGGUAGCAAACA